rnacentral:sRNA from 2 species
ACUUAAACGGGAUGGAAGCGGUAUCCUUUUGCUGCCAGCCUGAGCGAAGUAAAAGGGUAGCAAAAGAUUUAGCGGACAGCCCGGCUAGAG